rnacentral:rRNA from 1 species
CGCGAAAGUCCCGAAAGGGAUGAGUAGAGUGGCAAACGGGUGAGUAACACGUGGGUGACCUGCCUUCGAGCGGGGGAUAACGUCCCGAAAGGGACGCUAAUACCGCAUGACAUCCUGCCUUUGAACAGGCGGUGAUCAAAGCUGGGGAUCGCAAGACCUAGCACUUGAAGAGGGGCCCGCGCCUGAUUAGCUAGUUGGUGAGGUAACGGCUCACCAAGGCUACGAUCAGUAUCCGGCCUGAGAGGGCGGACGGACACACUGGGACUGAGACACGGCCCAGACUCCUACGGGAGGCAGCAGUGGGGAAUUGUUCGCAAUGGGCGCAAGCCUGACGACGCAACGCCGCGUGGAGGAUGAAGACCUUCGGGUCGUAAACUCCUUUCGAUCGAGACGAACGGCCUCCGGGUGAACAAUCCGGGGGAGUGACGGUACCGAGAGAAGAAGCCCCGGCUAACUCCGUGCCAGCAGCCGCGGUAAUACGGGGGGGGCAAGCGUUGUUCGGAAUUACUGGGCGUAAAGGGCUCGUAGGCGGCCAACUAAGUCAGACGUGAAAUCCCUCGGCUUAACCGGGGAACUGCAUCUGAUACUGGAUGGCUUGAGAUCGGGAGAGGGAUGCGGAAUUCCAGGUGUAGCGGUGAAAUGCGUAGAUAUCUGGAGGAACACCGGUGGCGAAAGCGGCAUCCUGGACCGACACUGACGCUGAGGAGCGA